GGUUUCCGUAGGUGAACCUGCGGAAGGAUCAUUGUCGAAUCCUGCAUAGCAGACCACCGCGAACAUGUUAGAAAAUCAUGGGUUGUUGCAGGCUAGGGAAACCUCGCCUGUCGGCACUCCCACCAAACUAAACUUUCGGCGCGGAAUGUGCCAAGGAUUACUUGAAAAUAGAUUUGCCUGUAUCCCAGCGGAUUCCGCAGGGCAUGCUAGGCGUCUGAUCGCUUAACAAAAAGACUCUCGGCAACGGAUAUCUAGGCUCUCGCAUCGAUGAAGAACGUAGCGAAAUGCGAUACUUGGUGUGAAUUGCAGAAUCCCGUGAACCAUCGAGUUUUUGAACGCAAGUUGCGCCCGAAGCCAAUAGGCCGAGGGCACGUCUGCCUGGGCGUCACGCAUCUAGUCGUCACCUCAUCUCAAUGUUUCAGAGAGGAGUGACGGAUGUUGGCCUCCCGUGCCCUCGAGGUGCGGCCGGCCUAAAUUUGAGUCUUCGGCGCGAGACGUCACGACAAGUGGUGGUUGAACUCAUCAACUCGUGUGCUGUCGCGACUACGCCUGACACGGACUCCAUUGACCCUAGAGCUCUUGACCCAAAACUGAGUUACGGGCCUUCGACCGCGACCCCAGGUCAGGCGGGAUUACCCGC
rnacentral:rRNA from 1 species